rnacentral:rRNA from 1 species
GACGAACGCUGGCGGCGUGCUUAACACAUGCAAGUCGAACGGAAAGGCCCUGCUUUUGUGGGGUGCUCGAGUGGCGAACGGGUGAGUAACACGUGAGUAACCUGCCCUUGACUUUGGGAUAACUUCAGGAAACUGGGGCUAAUACCGGAUAGGAGCUCCUGCUGCAUGGUGGGGGGUGGAAAGUUUCGGCGGUUGGGGAUGGACUCGCGGCUUAUCAGCUUGUUGGUGGGGUAGUGGCUUACCAAGGCUUUGACGGGUAGCCGGCCUGAGAGGGUGACCGGCCACAUUGGGACUGAGAUACGGCCCAGACUCCUACGGGAGGCAGCAGUGGGGAAUAUUGCACAAUGGGCGGAAGCCUGAUGCAGAAACGCCGCGUGCGGGAUGACGGCCUGCGGGUUGUAAACCGCUUUCGCCUGUGACGAAGCGUGAGUGACGGUAAUGGGUAAAGAAGCACCGGCUAACUACGUG